UUACAGCUGCUGGCCUAUACCACAGCCACAGCAACGCUGGGUCUAAGCUGCGUCUGCAAUCUACAUUGCAGUUUGUGGCAACACUGGAUCCUUAACCCAGUAAGCACGGCCAGGGAUCGAACCUGCAUCCUCAUGGAUACUAGUUGGGUUCUUAACCCACUGAGCCACAACAGGAACUCCUUAAACUUUUUCUUAAUACUUAAUAAUCAGAACAGUAUUUUACCCCCAAAAUAGAUUUUUAUAUUCUAUGCAGCCAAAGGAACAAAAGGCAUUGCGAGUAAAUCCUUAGACUGUGAACGGCUCAAGGGCCGUGUCAUCUUCAUCUCUGAGUCUCCGAAUCUGCAUAAGACAGAGGAGCACUGUGUGUCUACUGCCCAAUAACUGGCUACUGCUGGCGAGCAUGAAGGUCACAGCAGAGAGCCUGCGGUACUCCAGGGACUCUUCACACCUUUUUUUUUUAAUGUAUAUUAUUUUAUUUUGCCUGCACCCCCCCCCCACUGCCCUGGUGGUGACAACAUUGCUUUUUUAGUUUAGUUUUUUUCAAUGUAUUUUAUUAUUAUUUAUUAUUAUUUUUGAAAAAUUAGCUAGAUUUAUUGCCAAUGAAUUGGUGAAGGUUUAACAUUAUAAACAUCUAAUCUUUAAAGUUAGAUAUUUUCAUCUGUUAGGCUUAUAAAUUGGCAUGUUUCCAAAGGGAAUCUUGUCAUGAAUCAAAGUCUUUAAAAUGUGUUACAAAGCAAGUCUGUAUCUGGGAAUUUAUUGUACGGAAACUACAAAGGAUAUUAACACAGAUUUAGCUAACAGAAUACUCAGUGCAUAGUUGAAAACAUUGCAAGACGGCAGUCACCAAUGACUGUAAUGAUCAUACGGUUUAGAUAAGGAAAUUUUUCCAUAGGAAAGCAUAUAAAAAGAUGUAAUAAAUAUUAAAUACGCAUUCAUGCAUAUCCUUUGUAUUUACUAUGAAGUUCAAAUUCUUUACUGUGUGUUCACACUUUUUCUUUUAUACCCACAGACCUAGAACCUGAGUCACCAAAGUUGGUAAGUUCAGCAGGAAGUGAUAUCGCCAGAAUGAGCGCCCCGCACCUGGACAGGGAGAGAAGCACUGCCUGGACCUGGCCGUCCCAGCCCCAGUCCCUUCCCCUCCCUUCAACCUGGCACCACCCCUCCCGUCCCUCCUCCUUUUCUCUUCCUGCGGGGCUUUGCGUUUAAUCGUGGAAGUCGCACUUUAGUAGGAGGUUCAGAAAAAAAAAUUUUUUUUGUUUCUACACCAAACACAUCUCAAGAAAAGACAAAGGAUUGAUAUUAUUUGCCAGGAGAGGUUGUGGGAGGGGUAAUGGUUUAAGAACCUGAAACUUUUUGCUAUUUUUUUAAAGUUGUAUUGAUACAAUUCACACAUACCUCACCAAUUUGAAGUGUACACAAUGAUUUUCAGUGUGUUCGGAGUUGUGUAUCAUGACCACAGUCAAUUCUAGAACAUUUCACCUCCCCUCCAAAGAAACUGUGCAUAAUCUAACAGUCCCCCACCCUCUCUCUCCUCCAGCGCCUGGCAACUACUAACCUCCUUUCCAUCUCUAGAGAUCUGCCUAUCCUGGACAUUUCACAUAAAUGGAAUCACACAACACGUCAUCUUUUGUGACUGGCCUCUUUUCACUUGGCAUGAUGUUUUUGAGGUUCAUCCAUAUAACAGCACAUAUCAGUACUCCACUCCUUUUUAUUGCUAAGUAAUAUUCCAUUGUAUAGCUAUACCACAACUCAUUUAUACAAUACCAAGUUGAUGGACAUUUGGGUUGUUUCCACUUUUUGGCCAUUAUGAAUAAUGCUGCUAUGGGCAUUUGUGUGAACACAUUUUGUCAUUCCUUUUGGGUACCUAGAAGUAGAAUUUCUAGGCCACAUGGUGACUCUUUUUCACCUUUUGAGGAACUGUUUUUCCAAAGUUAGUUGUUUCCAACAAUUAGCUAGACUGUCUUCCAGGCAGUUUUACAUUCCCACCAGCAGUAUACAAGGGUUCCAAUUCCUCCACUUUCUCACCAACACUUGGUACUGUCUUUUUUAUUAUAACCAUUACAGGGGGUGUGAAGUGCUAUCUCAUUGUGGUUACAAUUUGCAUUUCCCUAAUAACUAAUGUGUGACUUGAAAAUAUUUUCUCCAUUCUGUGAGCUGUCUUUUCACCUUCCUUUUUUUUUUUUUUUGUCUUUUUUUGCCAUUU
rnacentral:lncRNA from 1 species